UACGUAGGGUGCAAGCGUUGUCCGGAAUUAUUGGGCGUAAAGAGCUCGUAGGCGGUUUGUCGCGUCUGCUGUGAAAACCCGAGGCUCAACCUCGGGCCUGCAGUGGGUACGGGCAGACUAGAGUGCGGUAGGGGAGAUUGGAAUUCCUGGUGUAGCGGUGGAAUGCGCAGAUAUCAGGAGGAAUACCAAUGGCGAAGGCAGAUCUCUGGGCCGUAACUGACGCUGAGGAGCGAAAGCAUGGGGAGCGAACAGG
rnacentral:rRNA from 1 species